GACAGAGGUGCCGAGCGUUAGGCGGAAUCACUGGGCUUAAAGCGUGUGUAGGCGGGCCGUUAAGUAUCUUGUGAAAUCCCCCGGCUCAACUGGGGAAUGGCUGGAUAUACUGGCGGUCUUGAGCGAUCUAGGGGCAGAUGGAACAAGUGGUGGAGCGGUGAAAUGCGUAGAUAUCACUUGGAACGCCAAAGGUGAAAACAGUCUGCUGGGGAUCUGCUGACGCUGAGACACGAAAGCCAGGGGAGCGAACGGG
rnacentral:rRNA from 1 species